rnacentral:rRNA from 1 species
UAGUGUAGCGGUGAAAUGCGUAGAUAUUAGGAGGAACACCAGUGGCGAAGGCGGCUUUCUGGACUGUAACUGACGUUGAGGCACGAAAGUGUGGGGAGCAAACAGGAUUAGAUACCCUGGUAGUCCACACCGUAAACGAUGAUUACUAGGUGUUGGAGGAUUGACCCCUUCAGUGCCGCAGUUAACACAAUAAGUAAUCCACCUGGGGAGUACGACCGCAAGGUUGAAACUCAAAGGAAUUGACGGGGGCCCGCACAAGCAGUGGAGUAUGUGGUUUAAUUCGAAGCAACGCGAAGAACCUUACCAGGUCUUGACAUCCAACUAACGAAGUAGAGAUACAUUAGGUGCCCUUCGGGGAAAGUUGAGACAGGUGGUGCAUGGUUGUCGUCAGCUCGUGUCGUGAGAUGUUGGGUUAAGUCCCGCAACGAGCGCAACCCUUAUGGUCAGUUACUACGCAAGAGGACUCUGGCCAGACUGCCGUUGACAAAACGGAGGAAGGUGGGGAUGACGUCAAAUCAUCAUGCCCUUUAUGACCUGGGCUACACACGUACUACAAUGGCGUUUAACAAAGAGAAGCAAGACCGCGAGGUGGAGCAAAACUCAAAAACAACGUCUCAGUUCAGAUUGCAGGCUGCAACUCGCCUGCAUGAAGUCGGAAUUGCUAGUAAUCGCGGAUCAGCAUGCCGCGGUGAAU